GACGAACGCUGGCGGCGUGCUUAACACAUGCAAGUCGAGCGGUAAGGCCCUUUCGGGGGUACACGAGCGGCGAACGGGUGAGUAACACGUGGGUGACCUGCCCUUAGCUCUGGGAUAAGCCUGGGAGACUGGGUCUAAUACCGGAUAUGACUCCAUGACGCAUGUUGUGGGGUGGAAAGCCUUGUGCGGCUAGGGAUGGGCCCGCGGCCUAUCAGCUCGUUGGUGGGGUNAUGGCCACCAAGGCGACGACGGGUAGCCGGCCUGAGAGGGCGACCGGCCACACUGGGACUGAGACACGGCCCAGACUCCUACGGGAGGCAGCAGUGGGGAAUCUUGCGCAAUGGGCGAAAAGCCUGACGCAAGCGACGCCGCGUGAGGGAUGACGGCCU
rnacentral:rRNA from 1 species